GUUAAGGUGGCAGAGCCCGGCAACU
rnacentral:tRNA from 1 species